rnacentral:tRNA from 1 species
GUGUUCGUAGCUCAGCUGGAUAGAGCAACAGCCUUCUAAGCUGUGGGUCGUGGGUUCAAAUCCCUCCGAACACA